GAUGAACGCUGACAGAAUGCUUAACACAUGCAAGUCAACUUGAAUUUGGGUUUUUAACUUAGGUUUGGGUGGCGGACGGGUGAGUAACGCGUAAAGAACUUGCCUCACAGCUAGGGACAACAUUUGGAAACGAAUGCUAAUACCUAAUAUUAUGAUAAUAGGGCAUCCUAUAAUUAUGAAAGCGAUAAGCGCUGUGAGAGAGCUUUGCGUCCCAUUAGCUAGUUGGAGAGGUAACGGCUCACCAAGGCGAUGAUGGGUAGCCGGUCUGAGAGGGUGAUCGGGCAAAAGGGGAAUGAGAUAAGGCCCAGACUCCUAGGGGGGGCAGAAGGGGGGAAUAUUGGAAAAAGGGCGGAAGGGUGAUACAGAAAAGUCGGGUGAGAGAGAAAAGGUUUUGGGAAGUAAAAAGGUUUUGAAGGUGAAAAAAAAAAAGUGACGGUAAAAAAAAAAGAAGAAACGGAUAAAUACGUG
rnacentral:rRNA from 1 species